rnacentral:rRNA from 1 species
AUUGAACGCUGGCGGCAUGCCUUACACAUGCAAGUCGAACGGUAACGGGCCUUCGGGUGCCGACGAGUGGCGAACGGGUGAGUAAUGUAUCGGAACGUACCUUUCAGUGGGGGAUAACGUAGCGAAAGUUACGCUAAUACCGCAUAUUCUGUGCGCAGGAAAGCAGGGGAUCGCAAGACCUUGCGCUGAUUGAGCGGCCGAUGUCAGAUUAGCUAGUUAGUGAGGUAAAGGCUCACCAAGGCGACGAUCUGUAGCGGGUCUGAGAGGAUGAUCCGCCACACUGGAACUGAGACACGGUCCAGACUCCUACGGGAGGCAGCAGUGGGGAAUUUUGGACAAUGGGGGCAACCCUGAUCCAGCCAUGCCGCGUGAGUGAAGAAGGCCUUCGGGUUGUAAAGCUCUUUCGGCCGGGAAGAAAUCGCACGGGCUAAUACCCUGUGUGGAUGACGGUACCGGAAUAAGAAGCACCGGCUAACUACGUGCCAGCAGCCGCAGUAACAC